rnacentral:lncRNA from 1 species
GUUCACCACUUUAAAGGAGGAAUCAAAUACAAAAUUCAAGAUCUUUUUUCAAAACAGAAAUCCAAAAUUUAUGGUGGGGGACAAGAUUGUCAGAAUUUGUAGACAAGAGUAAUAAAUAUGCAUGCAUUAGGGUACCAUUUUAAUUGUAAAAGCCACAGCCUGUCUGGGUCAGGAUUCAAAUAUUAUAUAUACGUACCUCUUCAAAUAAACCAAACUGCAAAACCCCUAGUGGAAGAACCGGUACAAGCACAAUAGUCUGCAAAAGAAAUUAAAAUUAUCAACUCAAGAUUUGCUUGAAUUGCCCCAUUUAGUGCAUAAAUAUCAUUUUGAGGCAAGCCUAAUAUAAGCUGAUUUUUCUAGUCAUUAACACACUGAUUAUGGCACAAGCAGAAAGUUUUAUGUUAUACCAGAAAGUAGGAAUCAAAAUCAAAAUCUUAUUUGUAGUACAAACAAAAUAUAUAAAGGUAAGGCACAAUACCUUGAUGCCACAUGCAAUUUGAAGAAGCCACUCAUCAGGACACUAGAGACGUAGAAAAUUGCUGUUANUAAGUAUUUCAAAGAAGCAUGAUUAAUUAAUUUUACUUCUAAAUGGAAAUUGUAAGUACAGAAUCUCACCUCUGUGAUUAAAUUAGUG